rnacentral:lncRNA from 1 species
CCAACAUCCCACUGCUGCCCCGCAGUGCAAGCUGGAGCAGCAGGCGUGCCUGGCCAGCAAGCAGCUGACGGUGCGGUGCGAGGGGCAGUGCCCCUGCCCGACCCCACACAGCCCCACCAGCGAUGCCAAGCAAGAGCUGUGCACGGGGCAGGACCUGGCUGAUCUGGGUGACCGCCUGCGCGACUGGUUCCAGCUCCUGAGGGAGAACGCCAAGCAGAAUGGCUCUGGGGGUCUCCCCGCCAGCCCCACCACUGCGCUGGAGAGGAGCGUGGCAGCCAGCUGCAAGGAGGCGGUGGGGUGGAUGUUUGCCCGGUUGGACACCAGCAGGGACCUCUUCCUGGAGGCGGCCGAGCUGGCCGCCAUCAACCUGGACAAGUACGAGGUGUGCAUCCGAGCCUUCUUCAACUCCUGUGACACCUCCAAGGACGGACGCGUCUCCGCUCCCGAGUGGUGCUUCUGCUUCUGGAGGGAAAGUGCGUGGCGUGACGUGGUGUGACGUGGUGGCUGGGGUGGGGUGGGGGGGAAGGCUGCUGUGGGGAUGGGGGUUGUACCCCAUG